AUCCAGAUGAGGAGUCCUAAAUAGGACGAAAUGCGCGUUAUCCUGGAU
rnacentral:hammerhead_ribozyme from 1 species